CUAAAGGGUGAUGUUUGGCCUGGCAGGGCCUCCAGGACUCUGUUCCAGCUCUACGGCUGCAUCCUUCUCACUGGUCAGUGUAUUGCUGUGCUAUUGUUAAACGUCCGAGUGAUGGACCAGCCCGAUGUAGAUGAUGGGGAUGCAGCAGAUGCCUGGUGCAAAUCCAGCCUCCUCCAAGAAACGCUGCCAGAUGGUGUGUUGCUACUUGCAAAGUCCUUUCACAUGCAUUUAAAAAAAUUCAUUUCCUGUUUUCUGCACAAUCACCUCUAGGGGAUGGAGAGCUGAAGGAGGAGAAAGAAGACGAAAUCCGGUGACCCGGCUAUGAGGAAAAAACACUGCCCCAGAUUUGCAAAUCUCCUGCGGGGAGGGAGGGACCUGAGGAUUCUACCUCACGAUGAAAAUAACUGUUCUCCCCCCACAUUCAACCAACGGCUCUUUACUGGGUUCAAAGGCCAGCAACUUUGAUCUGCCCAACAAUUCUUGGAGGACAGAGGCAGGCAUUGCCCCUUUCAACAGAUGAGGAACCUGAAACCCAGAAAGGGAAAGUGACUCGCCCAAGGUCACACAGCACCAAAGCUAGAGUCCCAAUGUCCCUCCCCCCACUGCUUGCAGCUUGCAGUAGAUAAACCUGGAGAGAGUGGUCGGCCUCAUCUGCUCACCAGCCUGCAAACCCCUGGUGCUCCCUGCUGCUGUACCCAAAAUGCAGGCCACAGGAGGGGAGAGUGGUGACGGACUGGGCCCAAGCCAGUUCUGCCCCUUUGAAUGGGAGCCUGGGCCCCAAGAAUAACUCCAGGGCCACAGAGUGCUACAGCCUGAAGGGCCGAGCAGAAAGUGAGGACGCUGGAGAUUAACCAAGAUGGCGGAGUAGAAGGACGUGCUGUCACUCCCUCUUGCGAGAGCACCAGAAUCACAACUGACUGCUGGACCAUCAUUGACAGGAAGACCCUGGACUUCACCAAGGAGGAUACCCCACGUCCAAGGACAGAGGAGAAGCCACAGUGAGACGGUAGGAGGGGCGCAAGCAGAGUAAAAUCAAACCCCGUAACUGCUGG